rnacentral:rRNA from 1 species
AGUGAACGCUGGCGGUAGGCCUAACACAUGCAAGUCGAACGGCAGCACAGUAAGAGCUUGCUCUUACGGGUGGCGAGUGGCGGACGGGUGAGGAAUACAUCGGAAUCUACUUUUUCGUGGGGGAUAACGUAGGGAAACUUACGCUAAUACCGCAUACGACCUACGGGUGAAAGCAGGGGAUCUUCGGACCUUGCGCGAUUGAAUGAGCCGAUGUCGGAUUAGCUAGUUGGCGGGGUAAAGGCCCACCAAGGCGACGAUCCGUAGCUGGUCUGAGAGGAUGAUCAGCCACACUGGAACUGAGACACGGUCCAGAGUCCGACGGGAGGAAGCAGUGGGGAAUAUUGGACAAUGGGUGCAAGCCUGAUCCAGCCAUACCGCGUGGGUGAAGAAGGCCUUCGGGUUGUAAAGCCCUUUUGUUGGGAAAGAAAAGCAGCAGGUUAAUACCCCGCUGUUCUGACGGUACCCAAAGAAUAAGCGCCGGCUAACUUCGUG